rnacentral:rRNA from 1 species
UACGUAGGAGGCUAGCGUUGUCCGGAAUCGUUGGGCGUAAAGCGCGUGUAGGCGGUCCGGUAAGUCCGCUGUGAAAGUCGGGGGCUCAACCCUCGGAUGCCGGUGGAUACUGUCGGGCUUGAGUACGGAAGAGGCGAGUGGAAUUCCUGGUGUAGCGGUGAAAUGCGCAGAUAUCAGGAGGAACACCAAUUGCGAAGGCAGCUCGCUGGGACGUUACUGACGCUGAGACGCGAAAGCGUGGGGAGCAAACAGG